AUUCCCAGCUCCCAGACCGGGAAACUGAGGCUCAGAGGGGACCUGGCUCCGGCCAAGGUCACGCCCGAGAACCUCUGUCCAUGACCAAUGGAUGACCUCAGGACAAGAAUGCAAUAACUUGGCCUGAUGUUGUGAAGUCACGGUCCAUCCAGGGAUGGGCAAGAGGAUGACCAGAACCAUCUCGAGAGGGGCUGGAAAGCUGCCUCACGUAUGUGGUCCUGUGCUGUGUCUACAUGUUCCUCACUCACCUCUACAACGCUCAUGGCACGAGGGAGGAAAUGGGGUGCAGAGGCUAAGGAACGUGCCCAAAGCCCUACAGCUGGUGUAUUAGUAAUCUACUGCUGUGUAACCAAUUGCCCCAAAAUUUAAAUGUGUAAAACAACAAAG
rnacentral:lncRNA from 1 species